CAAAAAUAUUGACUAAAGGAAAAAAGCAUGUUUCAAAAGUAAAACUUACUAUCUGAAUAAACUUCUUAAAAUGAGUAACAAAGUAUGUUUCCUUUUUCUGUUUGCCUCUAUGUGUUUUUGUUAUCAAUUUCCUUAGUUUUGUUCUCUCUGCUCAGAGCUUUGCUCUCACUUCCAGAUUUGCACUUACACUGUCUGGCUUUCUCCUUUGCAAUCCCUGAGUUUUUGGUUGCAAUUCUGACACAACCCUUUCGGGUGGGCGGGACUUCUGAGAAGUCCUCUCCCAUAGGACAGUGGUUUCUCUUGAGUGACAGUUCAGUGACCUGGAAGUGAUGUAGCCUCCAAGACAUUUUUUUCCCACCUGGUCAACAACAUGAAUUUUGAGCCCCAAACAGGUUAUUUCUGCUGUCUGUGGUGUCUACUGAGGAUCUAAAGAACCUGUGGAACAUCAGAGACUUUGCAGCUACUGGAGCUAACCUGUGUACUGCUAACUUGCUACAGAGGAAGCAGCAGAAAGCUGAGCUAACAGGCUGUUCUUGCAGGUAAAUACUCUUUUAGUGGAACUGCAGGAUUUUUAUGGUAUAACUCAGACAGAAUCUACAUGAGCUAUUGUGGGAAGACAUUUAAACUACAUUUACAUACAGAUACAUGUAUUUUUUUAUUCCAUGUUACUUGGACGGGCUAAACAAGUUCAUAGUUCUGCCUGCUCCUUUUUCAGUGAAACGAAUGGAUUUUAUGAUGUAACUCUGACUGAAUAAUUAUCUAAAUUGAAAACUGUUGCAUUGCAUUACAAUGGAAGUGCUACACAGCCACAUGCAUCAACUGCAGCUGUUGACAAGCAUAUGGACCUAUUGUUCGAGUCCGUGGUGGUGGAUGCUCUACCAUAUCAGGAGUCUGACUAAGUACCUGUGCCUGAACCUCUCUGUGUCUAGUUAAAAAGACCUGAAAGACCUGCUGUAAGCAGGCACAGGAUAAGAUUUUAAAAGAACCUGUAAGGUUGCCUGAUGCUGAACUUCGGGCAGCUGCGUGCUCAGUGGAACAACCGCCUGUGGGAGGAGUCGUUGUGUUGCUGUUAGGAGUUUGGGUCGGAGUCCUGGGUUUGUGUUCCCUUUAAUCUCUUCAUUAGCCUUGCUAGUCACCAUUGCAGAGCACCAUGGAGAGGCUUACCUGAAAACUCUUCUCAUGGGGCAGGCACAUCCUCACACACCUGUAACCCCAUCCUUGAAUAAAAGCUGGUAGCUGGUCACUCAUCAGUGUUUUAACCCAUAUCUAGCCCAUGACUCUGCCGUUUUUCAAACUUACGUUCUCAUGUUCUAUGCAGAUCUAUGGGAAUUCUUUCCUUGAAGCUCCUGAUCACACAACCAUACUGGCAGUCGGCUUACCCACUACCUUCUGCUCACCCGCUUGCUACUCAUGCUGUCAUUCUCCCAGACUUCUGGUUGUUUCUCCACCAUUCUGCUGUCUCCCGUCUGCGCUACAAUUUCAGACCGUAAGUACCUAAACUUUUCCUUUUGUAAGUCAUUCUUUAGUCAUUACUAACACUCAAUUUUACCUCAGGGCCUUCUGAUCUUUAAACACUAAAACCUGUGGCUCCAUCUCUGUGGCGUUUCUCAGACUCUGUAAGCUACCUGCACAGUCUAAGAAAACCCUGACCUGUUGCCUCUUACUAACCUCUGCUCUUCCUCGCAGAAGCUUCUGGUUCCUGAUCUCCAGCAGUUACCUCUUCAGUCAUCCGUCAAACAUUUUAAUAAACUGUUUUUAGCUCA